AGGUUCUAUACUUGGUUGAUGAGGUUGCAAUUCAGAAUUUACAAACCUACAAAGAAAAGAAGUUGGUUGAUAUCAGAGAUGAAGAUAUAUGAAGUAAAGGAAAGGGAAGCUAAAGAAGAGUUUAACCUUCUCUGUGACUGGAUAAAACAGCAACUCAGGUGAAAAAGUUGCUAAAGUCCUAAAUCGUUUGAGCUCUUCUUCUUGUGUGUUUGUCUCAGGCAAAUCGGGUGGUCAGCUAAUAUGGAAAGAUGAUGUUAUCGGGAAGAUGAACGUGAUAGAAAGAAGUGCUUGAUGGUCAAAAAGGAAGCGACAGUGGAGGAGUACGUCGUGGUGGUGUAUACGGAGGAGGAUACCACAGAGGUUUCCCCAAUUUUUGUUUGUCACCACGCCUUCCUUGCGUGUUGUUGUUACUUGUUUUCUUAUAUUAUUAUUUGAUUCUUUGCAUAUUACUUGUUCACAUGCAUUCAAACAUGCAUACAUACACAUUCAUAAUUGCUUCUUUGUUUCAUUGUCUU